GCCGCGGUGGCGGAACUGGCAGACGCACUAGCUUCAGGAGCUAGCGGGGGCACACCCAUGGAGGUUCAAUUCCUCUCCGCGGCA
rnacentral:tRNA from 1 species